UAGAGUUUGCAAAUUGGUAAGGAAAAGAAACAUGAAUUCCAAGUCCAUUUCAACCAUGAUGGUUCUUCUUGUUUUCCUUCUUCUCUGUGGAAAAGACAUGAUGGUGAGGAGUGUGGAUGGGAGGAUAUGCCAGAGGGUGUUGCCAAUAUCCACAUACCAGGUAUGCUACGAUGAAUACUGCAUGAGGCUAUGCCGAGGUCAGCUUGGACCCGAUGCCGAUGGACUUUGUUUGGGCGUUUACACAUGUAACUGCACAUAUCCUUGUUGAUCUUGUUCCUUCCCAAUCUCUCCUUCUAAGAAUUUGAUGCUUAAGACCACAGCAGCUGUUUAGUUAUGUAUCGACAUAUUAUGGAAUUUCAUUCGAAUAAACGAGGGUUGUAUUACAGUGUUA